rnacentral:rRNA from 9 species
GACCUGGUAGUCCACGCUGUAAACGAUGUCGACUUGGAGGUUGUGCCCUUGAGGCGUGGCUUCCGGAGCUAACGCGUUAAGUCGACCGCCUGGGGAGUACGGCCGCAAGGUUAAAACUCAAAUGAAUUGACGGGGGCCCGCACAAGCGGUGGAGCAUGUGGUUUAAUUCGAUGCAACGCGAAGAACCUUACCUACUCUUGACAUCCACGGAAUUCGCCAGAGAUGGCUUAGUGCCUUCGGGAACCGUGAGACAGGUGCUGCAUGGCUGUCGUCAGCUCGUGUUGUGAAAUGUUGGGUUAAGUCCCGCAACGAGCGCAACCCUUAUCCUUUGUUGCCAGCACGUAAUGGUGGGAACUCAAAGGAGACUGCCGGUGAUAAACCGGAGGAAGGUGGGGAUGACGUCAAGUCAUCAUGGCCCUUACGAGUAGGGCUACACACGUGCUACAAUGGCAUAUACAAAGAGAAGCGAACUCGCGAGAGCAAGCGGACCUCAUAAAGUAUGUCGUAGUCCGGAUUGGAGUCUGCAACUCGACUCCAUGAAGUCGGAAUCGCUAGUAAUCGUAGAUCAGAAUGCUACGGUGAAUACGUUCCCGGGCCUUGUACACACCGCCCGUCACACCAUGGGAGUGGGUUGCAAAAGAAGUAGGUAGCUUAAC